rnacentral:rRNA from 1 species
AAUCUUCCACAAUGGACGGGAGUCUGAUGGAGCAACGCCGCGUGAGCGAAGAAGGUUUUCGGAUCGUAAAGCUCUGUUGUAAGGGAAGAACACGUACGGGAGUCACUGCCCAUACCUUGACGGUACCUUAUCAUACAGCCACCGCUAACGACGCGCCAGCCGCCGCGGUAAUACGUAGGUGGCAAGCGUUGUCCGGAAUUAUUGGGCGUAAAGCGCGCGCAGGCGGUCCUUUAAGUCUGAUGUGAAAGCCCCCGGCUCAACCGUGGAGGGUCAUUGGAAACUGGAGGACUUGAGUACAGAAGAGGAAAGCGGAAUUCCACGUGUAGCGGUGAAAUGCGUAGAGAUGUGGAGGAACACCAGUGGCGAAGGCGGCUUUCUGGUCUGUAACUGACGCUGAGGCGCGAAAGCGUGGGGAGCAAACAG